AAACAGCAAAACAGUGGCCUGGCAAAGGGAGGUUUCGAAAGCCACAUUGCCCACGUUCUUGUCCACGUGCUCUAGGACAGGACCUCUGCGCUCUUUCCCCAAUAUCGCAAAGAGCCCCGUGGUUAUGUUCUCCAAAUCGCCGAGCUGCGGCCAGCUGUUGCUAUGGCGACCGGAACCCGCUGACAACCAUCUCGAAGGGCCUCUGAGGAGGAGACUGCUUGGCUUCCAUUCAAGCGCAGUUCAAACGGCUCGCGCACAGGUCACCCUGCCUGGGACAGAUGCCUAAGGCCUCUCCCAUUGCCUACCAGCUCAGGCUGGGGAGGUGGAGGAGGCCAGUCACAGGGGCUGAGGGGCUCACCUGGGAGUCUGUCUAUGCUGGGGAGCCAACAAAGGUUGCAUGCAGCAUGUGCACUUUGGAUCAGAAGAGCCUGGGUGCUCAGGAGAGAAGUCACGAGGAUCUUCACUGGGUAGGGCCAGUAGGGAGGAACUGAGGACCUGGCCAAAGAGGCAUUGUAGAGGCCCUACGAUGGGCCUUUAGUGACAGAGAGAGAGGGUGAAGGAGGAAGGGAAGGUUCUGGCAUAUGAAGUGACUGUGUAAGUCCUGGAGCAGGGGACAUUGGCCACCAUUCUCCAGAGUGGCCCUCAGUGAUCUCACCUCCUGAUAUCCCACACUCUAUCAGGACUGGCCUAUGUGACCACGAGCCACACAGGAAGGAGGAUGACAUAUGACCCAAAGCUAGGCCAUCAAAGACAUUGCAACUUUUCUGCCUUACUUCCUUUUCUCUGAUCAGCUCUGGGGAAAAGCCAGCUGCUACACUGUGGGAAUACAUAGCCUCAAGAAGAGGCCCUCACGGCAGAGGACUGGGGCCUUCUGCCAAAACCCAGCGAGAUGCUGGGCUCUCCCACCAAUGGCUGUGCGAGUGAGUGGGAAACAGACCCUCCGGCCCCAGUCAGCUUCAGAUGCUGGCAGCCCCACCUGUAACCUCAAGGCAGGCCUUGAGCCAAACCAUCCAGCUAAGCUGCUCCAAAUUUUCUGACCCACAACAACUGUGAGAUAAUAAAUGUUUGCUAUUCCAA